rnacentral:rRNA from 1 species
CACGUAGGGUGCGAGCGUUGUCCGGAAUUACUGGGCGUAAAGCGUGCGCAGGCGGUUCGUUAUGUCCGAUGUGAAAGCCCCGAGCUUAACUUGGGAAUGGCAUUGGAAACUGGCGGGCUGGAGUGCGGCAGAGGGGGGUGGAAUUCCACGUGUAGCAGUGAAAUGCGUAGAGAUGUGGAGGAACACCGAUGGCGAAGGCAGCCCCCUGGGCCGACACUGACGCUCAGGCACGAAAGCGUGGGGAGCAAACAGG